AUGCAGUCAGGGGCAGCGGGAGUAGCAAUACUUGCCGGCGACCGGCGCAANNNUGNNNAACGCGUGAGCAACAUGCCCGUAUCAGGGGGAUAAUCCAUGGAAACGUGGUCUAAUACCCCAUAGUAAGUUUUUGAGGCAUCUCAAAGAUUUUAAAGCUUUGGUGGAUACGGAUUGGCUCGCGUGACAUUAGCUAGAUGGUAGGGUAACGGCUUACCAUGGCUACGAUGUCUAGGGGUUCUGAGAGGAAGGUCCCCCACACUGGAACUGAGACACGGUCCAGACUCCUACGGGAGGCAGCAGUGAGGAAUAUUGGACAAUGGAUGGAAAUCUGAUCCAGCCAUGCCGCGUGCAGGAAGACGGCCCUAUGGGUUGUAAACUGCUUUUGUAUGGGAGCAAUAAGAUCUACGUGUAGAUUGAUGAGAGUACCAUACGAAUAAGCACCGGCUAACUCCGUGCCAGCAGCCGCGGUAAUACGGAGGGUGCAAGCGUUAUCCGGAUUUAUUGGGUUUAAAGGGUGCGUAGGCGGUUUGAUAAGUCAGCGGUGAAAUAUUUCAGCUUAACUGGAAGGGUGCCGUUGAUACUGUCAGGCUUGAAUUUAGUUGCUGUGGGUGGAAUGUGUGGUGUAGCGGUGAAAUGCAUAGAUAUCACACAGAAUAUCGAUUGCGAAGGCAGCUCACAAAGCUAAUAUUGACGCUGAUGCACGAAAGUGUGGGGAUCAAACAGGAUUAGAUACCCUGGUAGUCCACACUGUAAACGAUGAUAACUCGCUGUCGGCGAUACACAGCCG
rnacentral:rRNA from 1 species